rnacentral:misc_RNA from 1 species
AUCAAUUUCUGCAGCAGGGAAGACUUCUAUGGCAUUCACAAAAGCAAAAGAUGGAUCAUAGGAUGGCUUUAAGGAGAUACUGAAUUCUCUUGCGUUGAUGGUGAGCAAAAAUUCCUCAAUCACGGGGAAUUAAUUUGGGAGAUGCUACAAUUGGAUAAUACUAAAAACCCAGCAGCCCAGACAUCGAAUAAAGCAUUACGCAGAUUAGCCGGCGAUGAGAAAACGAAGAAAUGAAGUCGUACGAGCUAGA